rnacentral:pre_miRNA from 1 species
AAUAAACCCUGAUUUCCGUGUCCAACGUUUGACCGUCCGUCUUAUUUGAAAAAAUUAUAAAAAAAAUUAAAAAGACAAGUCACGCAUAAAGUAUUAAUCAUAUUUUAUCAUCUAACAACAAUGAAAAUACUAAUUAUAAAAAAAAUUCAUAUAAGACGGACAGUCAAACGUUGGACAUGGAAACCUAGAGUUUGUCUUUUU